rnacentral:lncRNA from 1 species
UUAUGGUAUUAUUUAAUUGUAUAAUUUCUGUUGACAAAAGGAUUUAGUUUUAUUUUAGAUCUUUGUCAAAUAACCGGCGGUUAUUGUGCCGAGUACUGGUCAAAUAAUCCCUGCCUAUAAUAUAAUAGUUUUACAGUGUUGUGUAUUAUAUAGGUAUCUGUUACAUUUCCAGGAAGCUUUAAGGACCAACAACACAUCUCGGUACGACAAGUGGAGACUCAACCGUACAGACCCGUCCGGUCUCGCACACGACGCCGUUAACGGCAAACGGAGAAACGCCGCCGCCGCCGACCCGCGGGAGGUACUUUCUCCAUCACUGCCUAAAGUGGACCUGAUGUGAACUAGAAUGAAGUUGGCUGGACCUGCAGUGAAGUGGACCUGAAGCUAACUGGACCUCAAGUAGUCUGUGGAAGCUUCAAGGACCAACAACACAUCUCGGUACGACAAGUCGAGACUCGACCGUACAGACCCGUCCGGUCUCGCACACGACGCCGUUAACGGCAAACGGAGAAACGCCGCUGGGAGGCACUUUCUCCAACACUGCCUACAGUGGACCUGAUGUGAACUAGAAUGAAGUUGGCUGGACAUAAAGUUUACUGGACCUCAAAUAGUCUGUGGUAUUGUAUUUAAUAUUGUUGUGGUACUUUGAAUGUUAGGAAAGUUGUACAGGCAUUCCCCAGUUUAUAAGAGUACUGUGUCUUAUAAAAACCUAUGGUAAAUCGAAUCACUAUUCCUAUAGACUCACAUUAUAAAAGCCAAGAUACUUUUCUACAACGAAAACAGUUCCCCCCAAAUUAUGUACGGUCCCCCAAAAAGUAUCGAUUGAAUUUUCUAGCGGUAAAAUUUGAAACUCUAGAUGAAAUACUUUGCUGUGAUCCCCAGUGCAUCAGCAUAAGUUGGUACAGGUACAUCCGGUCACUAUAUGAGCAAUAGCCGUAGACGGCGGGUAGCGAGGGAGUCGUCCUCGUGUGACAUACGACCGUACGGUAUAUGCUUUACUAUAACAAGAAAUUCAUUGAGCUAUAUUAAUGUAUGUAUCGUGCCGGUUAGAAGCGAGGCCCCGACCGAGGAUUACAAAAAUAUCGGAAUAUACAUUAAACGGAAGAGUUUUGGAACGUCACGAGCUAGACCGAGACGGACCUCGGGGCAUACGUUUCGCCACCGCGUCGUAGCGACGGUUUUAUUCGUACCGAGAUGCACAAUGUAGUCGUCGACGACACGUCUGAUUUUUGAGGAGUGACGGAGCAAAUAGUAGUUGAUAUUAGAGUGAACAGGUACAGCAAUAUACAAUAUAUUGGUCUAAAUGGGAUCUGCCAAAUAUUAUCGAUACGUAAAUGGCGUCGGUUUAACGUCAAAAUAGGAUUUUAAUCGGCGCGUCGCCCGUCGUUUAGCGGCGGGUAACCCAUCGCGAUGCCCGAGGGUUCGCUCGCCCCAUUGUGCCGAGUUAUUCGAGCGUUGCGCGUACCCUCGUCGCGAAGGCUAAUAAUAGCGCCUCUCUCCCCGUUGUGUCUUUCCGAUAAUUCCUCGGUUCAUUUGACGUACGAUCCCGGUAAUGACCGGCUCGGCGUCCGUUUACGACACGCAAUCCAAAUUCGCGCUACGUGCGAUGCGAAUCCUCGGAGGAUUUGCAUCUUUCAAAAACACAUACAGUCGUGCGCCGGUUAACAUCCGAUAGCAUAUACAGUCGGCCCUUAACAUUCGCUGGGGUUAGGUAACAGAGAUACCCGUGAAUGUUAAAAA